AGUGAACGCUGGCGGCGUGCCUAAUACAUGCAAGUCGAACGGAAUUUAAAAGAGCUUGCUCUUUUAAAUUUAGUGGCGCACGGGUGAGUAAUAUAUAGCUAAUCUGCCCCUUGCUGGAGGACAACAGUUAGAAAUGACUGCUAAUACUCCAUACUCCUUUUUACCAUAAGAUAAAUCGGGAAAGAAUUUCGGCAAGGGAUGAGACUAUAUCGUAUCAGCUAGUCGGUGGGGUAACGGCCUACCGAGGCUAUGACGCGUAACUGGUCUGAGAGGAUGAUCAGUCACAUUGGAACUGAGACACGGUCCAAACUCCUACGGGAGGCAGCAGUAGGGAAUAUUGCGCAAUGGGGGAAACCCUGACGCAGCAACGCCGCGUGGAGGAUGACACUUUUCGGAGCGUAAACUCCUUUUG
rnacentral:rRNA from 1 species